rnacentral:rRNA from 1 species
GCCAGACUCCUACGGGAGGCAGCAGUGGGGGAUAUUGCACAAUGGGGGAAACCCUGAUGCAGCGACGCCGCGUGGGCGAAGAAGUAUUUCGGUAUGUAAAGCCCUAUCAGCAGGGAAGAAGAAAUGACGGUACCUGAGUAAGAAGCACCGGCUAAAUACGUGCCAGCAGCCGCGGUAAUACGUAUGGUGCAAGCGUUAUCCGGAUUUACUGGGUGUAAAGGGAGCGUAGACGGCCAUGCAAGCCAGGGGUGAAAGCCCGGGGCCCAACCCCGGGACUGCCCUUGGAACUGCAUGGCUGGAGUGCGGGAGGGGCAGGCGGAAUUCCUGGUGUAGCGGUGAAAUGCGUAGAUAUCAGGAGGAACACCGGCGGCGAAGGCGGCCUGCUGGACCGCGACUGACGUUGAGGCUCGAAAGCGUGGGGAGCGAACAGGAUUAGAUACCCUGGUAGUC